ACGUAGGGGGCUAGCGUUGUCCGGAAUCAUUGGGCGUAAAGCGCGUGUAGGCGGCCAGACAGGUCCGUUGUGAAAACUCGAGGCUCAACCUCGAGACGCCGAUGGAAACCGUCUGGCUAGAGUCCGGAAGAGGAGAGUGGAAUUCCUGGUGUAGCGGUGAAAUGCGUAGAUAUCUGCAGGAACACCCGUGGCGAAGGCGGCUCGCUGGACCACAACUGACGCUGAGGGACGAAAGCUAGGGGAGCAAACAGGA
rnacentral:rRNA from 1 species